GGGCCCGCACAAGCGGUGGAGCAUGUGGUUUAAUUCGAUGAUACGCGAGGAACCUUACCAGGGCUUAAAUGCAGAACGACCGGGGUGGAAACACCCCUUUCUUCGGACGGUCUGCAAGGUGCUGCAUGGUUGUCGUCAGCUCGUGCUGUGAAGUGUCGGGUUAAGUCCCAUAACGAGCGCAACCCCUAUUUCUAGUUGCCAGCGGUUCGGCCGGGGACUCUAGAGAAACUGCCAGCGUAAGCUGUGAGGAAGGUGGGGAUGACGUCAAAUCAUCACGGCCCUUACGUCCUGGGCCACACACGUGCUACAAUGGUGGGGACAACGAGUCGCUAACCCGCGAGGGUAAGCUAAUCUUCAAACCCCAUCUCAGUUCGGAUCGGAGUCUGCAACUCGACUCCGUGAAGUUGGAAUC
rnacentral:rRNA from 1 species